GAUCUGAACCUGCAGAGUUAAACUCCAUCAGGUUGAGAUCAUGAGUUUCAGAGUUAGAGGGUUAAUGAUUGGCUCUGCAGAGGGUUCCACCCACAUGACUCAGAGUGAAACCAGAGGAAGGUCUUUAUACAAAGUGAUAAACAGGAAACACCUUGCUGUCUGGCAUCACUGUUACAGAAAGAGGAAUCAAACCAGCAACCAGUUGCACAGAUAACAGGAGGUGGGAUUACCAAAUAAGGGCAUGAACCUGGAGGAGGCUUCAGCUACGUGCACAGAAAACAGUCUCAGCAGUAGAAGGACAUUGAUCAGUGGAAUUUAACAUUUCAAGGUUUCCACAAUAAAACAUGUCGCCUCUGCUUUUCAGGAAACAGACGGACUCUGCUGAUUGGCUGCCACGGGUCAACAAGUAGGAACAACUCGUCCCCUGAAGUUAUGGAAGCAUUUGAACAGUUUCUCCUCCAGUCAUUAUAGUCUCCAUCAAAUCAGACACAUUCUGUUCACACUCAGGUUUAAAGUUUGAAUCGGUGUAAAUACUUGACUGUAGUAAAUAUCAUUUAUUGAAAAGAGGAAGUUAAAAAGAGAGAAGAUGAGAAUAUAAAUCCAGUGUGAACAAACGUUAGUAAAGUUUGACUCACAGGUUUGUUCCUUGGACAUGUUUGUCAGUGAAGUCUCGUCAGAGUCCAAGUGAAGUUUCAUCAAAGACAGAGUGAAUUUUCCUUCUUCCUCUGGUCUUUAUGGGUUCGGGGGUUAAGCGCCUGUCCAAUCACCAAGGAAGGAUUUUGUGAAGGGCGUACCGAGGUGUGUGUUGAUGACGUAAGUGGCUGUGGUAGAGUGGUCUUCCUCCCACCAGAAGGUGGGCGGUUCAAUCCUCAGUCUGCCCCCCCUAAGUGUCUGUUGUGUUCAAAAGAACUCGGAUACAACAGUAACAGCUCGUUAUAGAACCUGCAUGAAACAAGGAGACCCACCGAGGGGGACCAAGCUCAGUUGAUGAGGCCGUAAGGCGGUUCAUCAUACAGGUGCGUGGUGGAGGGUGCGCGCUGUGGUUAUUGAGGCACAUGAAGAUGGUGGUGACUCUUUAGCUCCACUAAAGCAGCAGAUGCUGAGAGGAGGCUCACUUCUGAAGGUGCUGCUGUUAUUCGAAACAGAGCGUCUUCCUCCUCCUCCUCCUCAUCAUCAUGACAACCGCACAUAUCAGAAUUUUCUCAGCCUGUGACUCAAGGGAGCAAACUGAGGCCUCGUUAGGACACCAGCGUCCUGCAGACGAGGACACAACAUGUCAAACGGUACCUGGGUGAACCAAACAUUGGAGGAUUGGAGAACCCUCUACAGUUUUGGGAAGGACAGAAAAAUGUAAAUCCCAACUUGUCCAAACCUGCUGCAGCUUUCCUCUGCGCCCCAGCUUCACCUGUGCCCUGCAUGAGAAAGGCUCUUUUCUGAAGCAGGCGAAAUGAUCUCAAGAAAAAGAAACCACCUGAAACGCAGCACUGUGGAGAAGUUAUUAUUAAAUAAAAAUGAAUAAAAUGUUGA